GACGAACGCUGGCGGCGUGCUUAACACAUGCAAGUCGAACGGGCCCGCUCUUUUUUUUGGGGGUGGGUUGAGUGGCGAACGGGUGAGUAUCACGUGAGUAACCUGCCCCCUGCUCCUGGAUAACUGCUUGAAAGGGCGGCUAAUACGGGGUGUGCCGGCUGGUCCGCAUGGGCCUGGUCGGGAUAGUUUCAUCUUCGGGUGUUUCGGUGGGGGAUGGGCUCGCGGCCUAUCAGCUUGUUGGUGGGGUGAUGGCCCACCAAGGCGGUGACGGGUAGCCGGCCUGAGAGGGUGGGCGGCCACACUGGGACUGAGACACGGCCCAGACUCCUGCGGGAGGCAGCAGUGGGGGGUAUUGCACAAUGGGCGGAAGCCUGAUGCAGCGACGUCGCGUGAGGGAUGGAGGCCUUCGGGUUGUGAACCUCUUUCUCCGGUGGUGAAGGCCCUGUCCGUUGCGGCGGGGUUGACGGUAGCCGGGUAUGAAGCGCCGGCUAACUACGUG
rnacentral:rRNA from 1 species